ensembl:lncRNA
GUGAUGUGGAACAGAUGCCGGGAGCCGGCAGAGCCUUUGGAAGGGCUGCGUGCGUGCACGCAUGUGUGCAAGAGCUUCGUGGCUUCUGCUGGGAGAAGGGAGCUGCCCCGCUGCCUGCCACCCAGGGAGCGAGCCGCCCCACUGCGACAGGAGCUGGGCUGCCGUGCCAGGAGGUCACACGUUUCUCAAAGCUGCCGGAAGGCGGACAGCUUUGCAGCCAAGCAGAUGCUGCGUGCGCGGUGCUCACCCGCCCCGGGGAGCUGCGGGAGGGCCCCUCGCAGCCACGCAACCGGCACAGCGCGUGCUUUGGGACACCAAACAGCAAAGCCACAGAGCCUCAGCGUGUUGGGGUUGUGCGUUCAGAGGGAACCUGCACCUUCUGGACUCACCAAACGGCAGCCAAACCUGCGAGCCGAGCGCGGCAGCCCGCCAGCCCCUUGGAUUUGCUCUGUUACAAAUUACACACAGCCCGGGCAGGCAGGGCCUCUGCUCUUUGAAAACCUAUCCCUCGGUGUUUAUUAUAGAAACCAGUUGCCCUAUCUGUUGACAGCCAAAUUGCAAAAGGCCCCGCUGGAACCGCCGCCCCCCGUGCUCCCCUUCUGCCUGGGAUGCCUUUAUCUCAAUGGGCUUUGAGGUGCUGUGCUCGGGGACAGGGCUGCACAGCCACCCCCCGGUGCCACCGAGCACUCUCAGCGUGGAGAAAGCUCACCUGAAUGAUUGCAGUGCCACAAAGAGGACAGAAGGCUUCGCCGGUGUCUGCCUGCUGACUGAAGCUGUCAUUAUCAGCUCAAUAAAUCUCUGGCGCGGGUUUUAUUGAAUCGCUGCCUGAGGGGGAACAAGCCUGUAAAGGUUGAGGAGAGCAGAGCUUUCCCACGCCUGAGACACGCUGCCGGAGCUCUUGCACACAUUCCGGGCCUGCCAGCACUCCGCAAAUGUUUGGACAGCCUUGAACAAAUAACACACCUUUAAAGAGGCCAGCAUGAAAUUCUUCCUCACCCCUCGGCCGCCCUCCCGCUGCCUCGUGCCCCCCCCCCAGCACCCCGCAGUGCUCCAUGUGUGUGUGCGCGCGGGGUUUAUUUUAGGCUCGUGGCCGUGCUCCAGUUUCGGGGAGGAGGAUGGAGGAUGGGGAUGGGAGGAGGUCUGGCUUUUCCUCCCACAGGUAGGAACCGGCUCCAGGCUGUGAUUUGGGGGAUGCCAAUGCUUUUUUUAUCUGUAUUCUCUCUGUUGCAUCUCAUGCUCUGCUCCGUGCCCCGUGGCACAGCGCAGGGGAUGGAGCCAGGAUUCGCCCCAGCGUGGCGGUGGGGCCGAGGGGAGCCUCAGCAAGGAUUAAUGGAGCAGCCAGCUGCCUGCCUGCUGAGUUCUGGGAAUGUCAAACACUGCAGCCAUCUCAACAGCUCCUAAAAUUCCCCCUGACUCGUUUCCUGUUGCUGCUUUCCCGAUGCUGAAAGGCUCGGGCUCCCGUGGAUUAAAAAAAAAAUAAGAGAAUUGGAGGGGUUCCAGAAUUUAGGUUUCUGCCUCCUCCAUCUUCCCUGUCAACGCGUCGUUAAAUAAGAAGCAGGAACGCUGUAUUCGCCGUGCGCUCCUCACCAAAGGGCUGAGCGAAAAUCCUGCUGGAUGCAGCAGGUGACAGUCGGGUUCCCUGCUCCCAGGGUCUGUCCCCGUGUGCCAUACCCGAGCAGAGGGCGGGAGGAGCUGCACAGACCAUGACUUGGCUCCCUUUGGGGAAGCAGAGGCACACCUGAGGCGGGGAUGCUGCAAGGGGCAGGCAGCAAGCUGCUGCACGCACCCACUGACAACCAGCCGCACCUCGGGCGAGGUCAACAGUGAACGUAGGAUGGGAAGAGCGAAGGUUGAGCAGCACGGCGCAGGGCUGGGUGCAAGGUCCAUUGCCAGCAUGCUCAUAAAGUGUGGAUAAGGGAGUGGUUUCCAGCUGAGAAAACCUCUCACGUUGGUUUAGAGGCCACCCAGGUGUCCCCAGGUUGGAGGGGGCCAUGUGUCACCCGAGGCACGCAGCAAGGAGGAGGCUCUGCUGUGCUUUGGUUCUGCAUUGGAAAGGCUUUGCAGACGCAUUGCUGGGAUGGGGUGGGUGGUCAAUGCUUCCUUCCUCGUGACCACACCCGCACGGAUUUGAGUCACUGUGGGAUGAUGCCAAGCAGAGGUUGGGCUGUGCUCUUCUCUCCCAAAAGCCCUUGGGGGGGUUGGGUGCAUCCCAGGAACCACAGCGGGGUUUGGAGCGUCCCACCACUUGCUGUGGCUUGGCUGGUUUGGCCAAGGUCUCAGCCCGGCUUGCUGGUGCAGCUGCCCCCUAAAAAAAGCACGGGAACCACCAGUUUGCAGCAGGAGGCAGAUCAAACCUCCUGUUUGCUUUCAAGCCUUCAAUUGUCCGUUAGCAAAGUGCACACCACAGAAUGGGUGGCCCCUUUCCUGGAGAAGCUGUGAAAACCUGCUCGGUUCCUGUGCUAGGAAAGCAAACAAACAAACACGACCCGGCGCUGGGUUUCAGCACACCAGAGCAUCUGGAAGCAAACCCCGAGCCCCUGCCUUGCUGAUAAGAGCCAGCUCCAUUGCCCACCGAUGGGAGAACCUGGGGAUGUAAUUAGAGAUGCGAAGCGCUCGAAACAAAGGGCGAAAAGCAAUCAGCGAAAGAACGGCGGCUUGAGCAGAUGAAUACACCACAAAAGCACCUUACAAACACAGGAUUUAAAACAGAUCAUCUUCUGAUCCUGGGCUAUUUGUCACAGCAAUGAAGGCUGUGGGCAUGCUUUCAUUUUCACUUCAACAGAAAGCUAAUUUUGCUGCUGAGAUCACUUACUUCCAGGAGCCACAACCUGGUGCAAACCCCCACUCUGUGCUGCAAAAUGCACUGCUGAACCAACAGGGCAGUAGCUGCUUCCCCUGGAAACCCAGGAAGAGGAAAGAAGGAAGCCAGCAGCUUUGAAAGAGCUUACUGAAGUGCUCUCAUUUAUUCUUACUCCCAAGCCUUUGCAUGCCAGCUUCCUUGCAAAACACUUCUAUAAAAAAAUAUCAAGAAGGAAAUUAGAUUUAAAAUAGAAAAAAAAAAAAAAAGAAAAAGAAAAAAAAAAAGAGAAAAAGAACCCCAACCCUUUCAUACCACUGCAUAAAUCACCUUGUUCUGAACCAAAGCAAUAAGAUGCAGCUCUGGCCUUGGUUUCAUUAAGUGACAGGGUGGCUUUCUUCGGGGUGGAACAAAACAGCAGUUUCUGCUCAGGAGCCCACAGAAUCUGCCCCCAGGGUGGAAUUUGCACUUGAGAGGCUGAUGGUGUCUGGGGCUCAUGCUGCCCUCGGGCUCCAGGGCUUUCACCCCAGGCUGUGUCCCCGUGUCCCCACGUGCCUUGGCACGUUGCUCAAUUGCACUCCUGCGUCUCCCAUUGCAGCAGAACUGGUGAGCUCCAGCCCUGGGGCUGCUCCCACACCCCACAGAUGGGGAUCUGGGACAUUCUGGGUUCUCCAUCCCUAUUUCAGCCCGCUGGCUGCAGCUGCUUUCCCUCAAUAAGGACAUGGCUUUGUAGGGCAGCCACUGGAACCGAACCCACGCCGAGCACCCCCAGCUCUCCCAUGAAGCCAUAACACCCAUUGGGCUCCAGCUGAAGGUUGCUGAUGUUGGUUCACAACACACCCACGGGCAUCCUCAAACCCCAGCACUGCCCACACCCCACCAACACA